CUGAAUGUUCAUAGCAACUUUAUUCGUUAUAGUCAAAAAGUGGAAACAACCCAAAUGUCCGUCAACUAAUGAAUGGAUAAACAAAAUAGCAUAACCACUCUGAGGUAUAUCCGCACAACAGAAUAUUAUUGCACAAUAAAAAGGAAUGAAGUGCUGAUACGUACUACAACAUGGAUGAUCCCUGAAAACAUUAUACUAAAAAAGAAAUCCCAUUCCAGUAGGUAUAGCUAAAAAUAAAUAAAUACACAAAACAUUAUCUUUAAUGAAAGAAGCCAGUCACAAAAGGUCACAUGGUGUAUGAUUCAGUUUAUAUUAAAUGUCCAGAAUAGGAAACUCUGUAGAGGUGGAAAAUAGAUUAGCAGUUGUCAAGGGCUGUAGGGAGGGGGAAUUGGUAGUGACUGCUAAUGGAUACAGGAGUGAUGAGAAUGUUCUGAAAUUAAAUGGUAAUAGUUGAAUGAAUUUAUGAAUAUACUAAAAAACACUGCAUUGUACACUUUAAAAGAUACAUUAUACACUUUAAAAGGUGAGUCUUAUAGGAUUUUAUGAGAUUUUAUGAAAUUUGAAUCAUAUCUCAAUUUUUUUAAAAGUGUUUAUUGGAUUUCUGAGACUCGGGUGUUGUUAGUGGCCUUGUAGAGGAAUGUUAGUGGUCAAAGGCAGCUGGCAGUGGACCAAAGAAUGAGUGGGAAGUGAAGAAUAGUGAGUGUAUACAAUUCUUUCAAGAAGGUUAGGUGAGAAGAACAGGGCAGUAGCUGAGAGAGAUAAAAGGUCAAAGAAUAUUCUGGUUUUGUUUGUGGUGCUGAUGGCAGAAACUUAAGUAGGUUAAAAUGCUAAUGGAGGCUGGCCUAAUGAAAAUUUAUUAUUUUCUGUGAGUCACUGUAUUUAUAACUCAGGUACUGGCUACCGAGUGAAUGGUGGUGCCUGGUUUAUGGUUUUGUGGGCUUACUGUCUAGUCUAUUAUCUGAUUUGGGUAAGAGAAUAUAGAUUUGCCCGUAACUUAGCCAAAUUUUAAAAAGCAUAUCUAUUUAUUAGAAAGAAAAAGUAUUAAAGUAUGACCUAUCAAGCUAUUAAUGGCAUAUGUUUGUAACAAACUAUAGAAAUGAUCCCUGAAAGUAUAGUCUUAAUGGCAUAUUUUUGCACAUCAUAUCCAAUAAGAUUUAGAGAAGCACAAAUAUAUAUAAGGCCCCUCUCCCUUGCUCAAUUUCAACACCUGUUUUUUUUUUUUUUUUUUUUUUGAAUUCACUAAAGGGGAAAAUGGUGGGGUGGUCAGUCAGUGCUAGGAAGGUAGGUAGUUAAUGAUGGUUAUGCUAAUUUAGAAUGAAAAACUUUCAUUCUAGAUAGGACAGUGAAUCCAAUAUCUCUUUUUUUUCCUCCCUAGAGACAGGUUCUCACUCUAUUGGAGUGCAAUAGUGUGAUCAUAGCUCACUGCAGCCUUGAACUCCUGGGCUCAAGCAAUCAUCCCACCUCAGCUUCCUAAGUAGCGGGCAUGCUGGCAUAAGC
rnacentral:lncRNA from 10 species